rnacentral:rRNA from 1 species
AAUAUUGGUCAAUGUGGGCAACCCUGAUCCAGCCAUGCCGCGAGUGUUAAGUAGGUCUUCGGAUUGUAAAGCACUUUAAGUUGGGAGGACGGGCUCUAGGCUAACACCCUGAAGUUUUGACGUUCCCAACAGAAUAAGCACCGGCUAACUCGAUGCAUGCAGCCGCGGUAAGACAUAAGGUGCAAGCGUUAAUCGGAAUUACUGGCCGUAAAGCGCGCGUAGGUUGAUCAUUAAGAUGGGUGUGAAAUCCCCGGGCUUAACCUGGGAACUGCUUUCAUAACUGCUGAGCUAGAGUACGGUAGAGGGUAGUGGAAUUUCCUUUGUAGCGGUGAAAUGCGUAGAUAUAGGAAGGAACACCAGUGGCGAAGGCGACUACCUGGACUGAUACUGACACUGAGGUGCGAAAGCGUGGGGAGCAAACA